AAUCUGAGGUGAGAGAAGUUGCUUAAUUGUGCUUCUGAUUUGUGUUUGGAAUGGAUCGAGCCAAGAUUGACCGUCGCCAGCAAGAAGCUGCCUUCUCCAAAAGGCGUGCGUGCUUGUUCAAGAAGGCGCAUGAACUUGCCGUUCUCUGCGAUGCUCAAGUCGCCAUUAUCAUUAUUUCCUCCGAUGGCAAAUUCUACGAAUUUGCUACUUCCAGUAUGCAGAAAAUUAUAACAAGAUACAAAACGUGUUUGGAACUCGGCAAUCCUAAUGCAUCACAUUCAAAUCUAGAGACACCUGAGGAAGACAGCACUGAAGGAUGCCAGUGUUUCCAAACAGAAGGCUGAUAAACUCAAACCAAGGAAAUUUCUUGGCAAGGACUUGGCACAGAUGAGCUCACAUGAAUUAUCUGAGCUUAAAGAGAAAUUAAACAAAGGGAUGAUGUUUAUAAAGGAUACAAAGCUGCAACUGUUGAGGGAUGAAUUAGAAAAAUCAAGAAUGCAGAAACAGCAGCAGCUGGAGAAAAGCCAGAUAUUGCAGAGACAGGCAAAUCCAUCUCCUACACUAAGAUGAAUAAAUAGCCACUUUGUAUGCUUGGCUUUUGCUCAUGAAUUAUAUCUUAAAACAAACCGUUUA